GCUGAUUUGGCCGAGUGGUCUAAGGCGAUGGUUUUAAGUUAGCUUAAAUUCACCAUUAUCGAAAGAUGCGUGAGUUCGAACCUCACAGUCAGCA